GAAGAACCUUACCAGUCCUUGACAUCCUGCUGACGUAUCAGUAACGUGAUAUUUCCUACGGGACAGCAGAGACAGGUGGUGCAUGGUUGUCGUCAGCUCGUGUCGUGAGAUGUUGGGUUAAGUCCCGCAACGAGCGCAACCCCUGUCCUCAGUAGCCAGCAGUUAGGCUGGGCACUCUGAGGAGACUGCCGGGGACAACCCGGAGGAAGGCGGGGACGACGUCAAAUCAUCAUGCCCCUUAUGGGCUGGGCUACACACGUGCUACAAUGGCGUCCACAAAGUGAAGCGAACCUGUGAAGGGGAGCAAAUCCCAGAAAAGACGUCCCUAGUUUCA
rnacentral:rRNA from 1 species